GCGACCUUUGUCGACCAAUUUCAAUGAAAUAGGUUAGAGAACUGUUUGAUGUGGGUAUCUCCAGAUCCCCACCCACACUUCUCAUGCUUUUAGAAAACUGCAAGUAAUGUUUCCUUUAGGUUUUUUCUCGGAUUUUCUAGAAUUCCAUAGAAUGUGAUGAAAAACAAGAUGCGGUUGUGCUAGAGAUCAUACUUUCCAGAGAUAUAAACUGUUAUUUUUAACGUUUUUCUAUAAUAAUGUUUUAAUGACGUUGCAAUUUUUUUAUGAUAACUAAGAUCCCAAAAUUCUAGAAUUCUAUGGAAUGCGACGAAAAACGAUGGCAAGCGUCUUCUUGCAUCAUCCAUUCUUGACAUGAUUUCUCUAAUACCGUCAUUUUCAAAUAAGUAUUACAUGCUUUCUACAAUAAGCUGCUACCUGAACUUCAAGUCUUAAGCCAUAAAAAAUUUACCAAUCAUGGUCGACUAUUCUUUUCACAUUCGACUGU